AAAAGGAGAAUGGCAGAUUUCGUACCGCAUAUUUUUGUCGUUGUUCAGUUAUAGAAUUUGUACCAAUUAUUAAGGCAACUAAGUCAUUUAUUUUCAUGUUAGUGUAGUAUUUUUAGAACUCCGGAUUAAUUAAUUAUACCAAUUAAAAGAUUCAAGUAAUUAAACGUAAUAUAAUCUUAAACUAAACGCAACUAAACGUAGUUCUGUUUUUAGAAGUUGCCAUUUGUAAAAUAUCACGAGGCUCGAAAUGAUAAAUAAUUAUUUAAACAUAGAAAUAACAGUAAAUAUAAUUAACCAAUUACAUAUUAUACCUUAAAAUGAAUAAUUAUUGCAUACUAUCUUAAUAAUUAACAAUUAAAUUAUAUAAAUUAUUUUCACCAUCAAUGUUUUUAUUUUGUAUUGGCAAUUAUUUUAUUGACAGGUAACGGAUAUCUUUCAGAGUCUAGUCUCUGUCUGUCAGUGUCUGUUCAGUUCUUUGCUGUUGUUUUGGAUUGUGGUUUGUUACUGCAUCUGAGCAAUUUAAGCAAAUUAUCUGGUCAUUUUUACGUUGAGUCGAGGAACUGCUCCUCCGUACUCUAUCUGUUGAUAGUACUUUCGCGAAAGAGAUAUAACACCUGCUGACCAUGAUUGCCGCACGGAACAAAUAUUUGAAUGAUCUGCAAGUAGUUGUUCAGGGUCUGGGUAUUUCUGCACAUGAGUUUCUAUGUUGAUGAAAUAAUACUAAGAAUAGAUUAAAUAAUUAUAAGAACAAUAAAAUAGAUGUAUAUUCCUACAAAAAACAAA
rnacentral:lncRNA from 1 species